GGGUCAAAGUUUAUGUUUAUGUUCGCCGUCCGUGGCGAACCGUUCGGCGAACCGUUCGGGACAUCACUACUCCCCAACGACAAGGCGAUGACGCAUUCGUAUGUCAUCCAUAUCAACUUUCAAUGUCAUUUACUGCGCCUACCAUGGUGACCACGGGUAAUGGGGAAUCAGGAUUUGAUUCCGGAGAGGGAGCCUGAGAAACGACUACCAGGCACGCAAAUGACCCACUCCCGACGCGGUAAGGUAGUGACGACAAAUAACAAUACAGGACUCUUUAGAGGCCCUGUAAUUGUAAUGAGUCCACUUGAAAUCCUUUAACUCUGAUCAAUUGGAGGGCAAGUCUGGUGCAGAGCGACUGACCCGUGCGUGCUGCUGCUGAAACUCCACUAUCGCCUGCUGCUGCUCACACAAUCUCUCCAGCUUGUG